CAAUAGCGUAUAUUAAAGUUGUUGCAGUUAAAAAGCUCGUAGUUGGAUUUCUGGUGGGAGCGAUCGGUCUGGCGCUUAGCGCGAGUACUUGCAUCGUCUCCGGCCAUCCUUGGGAGAGUCUGUCUGGCAUUAAGUUGUCGGGCAGAGGAUCCUCAUCGUUUACUGUGAAAAAAUUAGAGUGUUCAAAGCAGGCUUAUGCCGUUGAAUAUAUUAGCAUGGAAUAAUAAGAUAGGACUUUGGUACUAUUUUGUUGGUUUGCGCACCAAAGUAAUGAUUAAUAGGGACAGUUGGGGGUAUUCGUAUUCCGUUGUCAGAGGUGAAAUUCUUGGAUUUACGGAAGACGAACUACUGCGAAAGCAUUUACCAAGGAUGUUUUCAUUAA
rnacentral:rRNA from 1 species